AUUGAACGCUGGCGGCAUGCCUUACACAUGCAAGUCGAACGGCAGCGGGCCUUCGGGUGCCGGCGAGUGGCGAACGGGUGAGUAAUGCAUCGGAACGUGCCAUUGAGUGGGGGAUAACGUAGCGAAAGUUGCGCUAAUACCGCAUAUUCUGUGAGCAGGAAAGCAGGGGACCGCAAGGCCUUGCGCUCUUUGAGCGGCCGAUGUCAGAUUAGCUAGUUGGUGGGGUAAAGGCCUACCAAGGCGACGAUCUGUAGCGGGUCUGAGAGGAUGAUCCGCCACACUGGAACUGAGACACGGUCCAGACUCCUACGGGAGGCAGCAGUGGGGAAUUUUGGACAAUGGGGGCAACCCUGAUCCAGCCAUGCCGCGUGAGUGAAGAAGGCCU
rnacentral:rRNA from 1 species